GCCGCGGUAUUUUGACCGUGCGAAGGUAGCAUAAUCAUUAGUCUUUUAAUUGAAGGCUUGUAUGAAGGGUUGGACGAGAAAUAAGCUGUCUUUAUUGGAAAAAUAGAAUUUAACUUUUAAGUGAGAGGGCUUAAAUGUUCUAAAGGGACGAUAAGACCCUAUAAAGUUUGACAUUUUAUUCAUUAAAAAAUAAAAUAAUUAAUUAAUUUUUAUUAUUGGGGUAAUGUUUUGUUGGGGCGAUUAGAAUAUAAAAGAUUUAACUGUUUUAUAUUAAUACAAAGUUGUUUGAGUGUUUUGAUCCUUAAUAAAGGUAUUAGAGUAAAUUACUUUAGGGAUAACAGCGUAAUUUUUUUUGAGAGUUCUUAUCGACAAAAAAGUUUGCGACCUCGAUGUUGAAUUAAAGAAUUCUUUAUAGCGCAGAAGUUAUAAAAGAAGGUCUGUUCGACCUUUAAAUCUUUACAU
rnacentral:rRNA from 1 species